rnacentral:rRNA from 1 species
UACGAAGGGGGCUAGCGUUGCUCGGAAUCACUGGGCGUAAAGGGUGCGUAGGCGGGUCUUUAAGUCAGGGGUGAAAUCCUGGAGCUCAACUCCAGAACUGCCUUUGAUACUGAGGAUCUUGAGUUCGGGAGAGGUGAGUGGAACUGCGAAGUGUAGAGGUGAAAUUCGUAGAUAUUCGCAAGAACACCAGUGGCGAAGGCGGCUCACUGGCCCGAUACUGACGCUGAGGCACGAAAGCGUGGGGAGCAAACAGGG